AAUCAAGAUCGUGUAUCUGAAGUUCUCAACAAAGCCAUCACCGCGCUCAAAUUUGAACCCGAGGGUCCUCAGCAAUUUGCUCUCGCACAGAUCAUUGAAUCAAAUAAAGUGCUCAUACUUCCGGCCGAUGCCAUCCUGUAUUACGCAAUGAACAAGAAAGUGAAUCAUGACUUCAUCCUGAGAUUCACCGAAAGAAGAUCUUCAUGUCUAUGCAAGUUUUAGCUGCAAUGUUCGAGCCUCCUUCCCAAUGUGAAUCAAUGAGCUCUGGUGAGGAAGGGCGUUAGAGAGCUCACCGCCCUGAUUUUUGAGACGUCGUAUGUAUUUUAUUUCCUUCUCCUCCUGUAAAUCGCUUGGUGCUCGACAUAGGAUUCACUAAUUAGACAUUUACACAUAACCACUUUAAAAUUAAAAUGGUUCAACAUCGAGGCUAUCCCAACAAUACCAGCCACAGAUAGAAGAGAAAAUCAUCUGAGUUCUUUGUCUAAGUUUGUUUCUAAAAAUAGUGUUCAAUAAAUGUUUUCAAUGUUCUUACAUUUGUUUUAAAUUA